rnacentral:rRNA from 1 species
UACGUAGGGUCCGAGCGUUGUCCGGAAUACUGGGCGUAAAGCGCGCGCAGGCGGCUUCCCAAGCGCCAGCGUAGCAAAGCCCCGGGCUCCAACCCGGGAGGGUCGCGGCGAACUGGGAGCUUGAGGCCGGUAGACGGGUGGGUGGAACUCCGUGGUGGAGUGGUGGAAAUUGCGAUAGAGAUCAGGAAGAACAACCCGCUGGCGGGCAAAGGC